AUUGAACGCUGGCGGCAGGCCUAACACAUGCAAGUCGAGCGGCAGCGACUUAACUGAACCUUCGGGGAACGUUAAGGGCGGCGAGCGGCGGACGGGUGAGUAAUGCCUGGGAAUAUGCCCUGAUGUGGGGGAUAACUAUUGGAAACGAUAGCUAAUACCGCAUAAUCUCUUCGGAGCAAAGAGGGGGACCUUCGGGCCUCUCGCGUCAGGAUUAGCCCAGGUGGGAUUAGCUUGUUGGUGAGGUAAUGGCUCACCAAGGCAACGAUCCCUAGCUGGUCUGAGAGGAUGAUCAGCCACACUGGAACUGAGACACGGUCCAGACUCCUACGGGAGGCAGCAGUGGGGAAUAUUGCACAAUGGGGGAAACCCUGAUGCAGCCAUGCCGCGUGUGUGAAGAAGGCCUUCGGGUUGUAAAGCACUUUCAGUAGGGAGGAAGGUAGUGUAGUUAACACCUGCACUAUUUGACGUUACCUACAGAAGAAGCACCGGCUAACUCCGUGCCAGCAGCCGCGGUAAUACGGAGGGUGCGAGCGUUAAUCGGAAUUACUGGGCGUAAAGCGCAUGCAGGCGGCCUGUUAAGUCAGAUGUGAAAGCCCGGGGCUUAACCUCGGAAUUGCAUUUGAAACUGGCAGGCUAGAGUCUUGUAGAGGGGGUAGAAUUUCAGGUGUAGCGGUGAAAUGCGUAGAGAUCUGAAGGAAUACCAGUGGCGAAGGCGGCCCCCUGGACAAAGACUGACGCUCAGAUGCGAAAGCGUGGGGAGCAAACAGG
rnacentral:rRNA from 1 species